UGCUCCAGCUGCCUAUGCCUAUAUAGAAAUAAUAGUGAUUAAACAAAAUACUUCUCUGGAAUCUACUGUAGCUAAAACGGGGAAAACGGGAAAAGCUCUGGUUAGGAACAAAGAAAUAUGGACAUACGACAAUGCAGACAAUUAUAGAGACAACUUGAACCUCGAAAAUAUAUACCCAAGGAUUAUACUCGAUAAUUCAGCGGAAACUAAAACGACAACUAUAACUUUAUACUUUUCUGACCAAAAGAUGAAACAACUCAGUUUACUAACAACAAUAUUAAAAAUCAG
rnacentral:lncRNA from 1 species